AUGUUUGUUGAACCUUUCAAAUACCGCGCGAGGACAGAACAAAGGACCACGUGCUCCACGCUCACGCCAAGCGCAGCGUGCACGCGCGUCACAUGGCCUCCGUUUCAUGGCACAUGGCUGUUUCAACGCGCAAAGCUCACAAGCUCGACGCCGAUCUCACGCCACACUCACAUGGGACACCUUUUGCAAGGCUAUGAAUUGAAGAGUUGGGGAUGCAUUAACAUAAGAGCCCACAGCUCCCCCAUUUGUGAUCUAUCCCCAGCGAAGUAG
rnacentral:lncRNA from 1 species